rnacentral:rRNA from 1 species
GUCGAGCGGUAGAGAGAAGCUUGCUUCUCUUGAGAGCGGCGGACGGGUGAGUAAUGCCUAGGAAUCUGCCUGGUAGUGGGGGAUAACGCUCGGAAACGGACGCUAAUACCGCAUACGUCCUACGGGAGAAAGCAGGGGACCUUCGGGCCUUGCGCUAUCAGAUGAGCCUAGGUCGGAUUAGCUAGUUGGUGAGGUAAUGGCUCACCAAGGCGACGAUCCGUAACUGGUCUGAGAGGAUGAUCAGUCACACUGGAACUGAGACACGGUCCAGACUCCUACGGGAGGCAGCAGUGGGGAAUAUUGGACAAUGGGCGAAAGCCUGAUCCAGCCAUGCCGCGUGUGUGAAGAAGGUCUUCGGAUUGUAAAGCACUUUAAGUUGGGAGGAAGGGCAGUAAAUUAAUACUUUGCUGUUUUGACGUUACCGACAGAAUAAGCACCGGCUAACUCUGUGCCAGCAGCCGCGGUAAUACAGAGGGUGCAAGCGUUAAUCGGAAUUACUGGGCGUAAAGCGCGCGUAGGUGGUUUGUUAAGUUGGAUGUGAAA